GAUGACGCCUGCAGAGGUGCGCGAGGCUGGGUGUCCAUCUCACUCACCCAGCCUGAAAAUGUCUAUGUGAAGAAGCGUAAGCAAAACAGACACUUGUGCUAAUCACUGUUCAGAGCUUGGCUGCUGAGUGUUUUCUGGGAGCUGCAUUGUCAGUUGAGGGCUGCCCGCUGCGUGGGGUGGAUUCCCCAGCCCUCACAGGAUAAUUUUAUCACAGAGGACAACAUUUGUAGUUCUGCAUGAGUGGCUCUCCUGGCGAGAUAAAGAAGAGACAGUGAGCUGAGGCUGAGGCUGAGAAGGCUGGCAUAUGUGAUGUCUUCGGGGAUCGGAAGCUGUAAAGAAAGCUUUUAUGGUUCCCUGACUGAGGAUAAUCAACCCCUUCAUAAUUUAGAAUCCAAAGAUUGGAUCUUCUGAGAACAUCAGAGAAAGACUGCCCUUGCCAUCCACACUGCAACAAAACUUCAGAACCUUGAACCUUGGGUUCAUAAUCUCACAACAAAGAAGGGUCCCUCCAUGUUCUUGGAGCUGUACACCCAUUGGAACUCUUAAGGUAAAGCUAACCAGGGAAGUUUCUCCCCAGAAGAUGGGAUCCUUAAUGUGAACAGCUUUUCCCAAUAUCACAGAUCAAGAUUUCUCUACUAUCAUGAGACUUUUAUCUUUGAAUAUUUUCCCUUCCUUAUGCCUCUAUAAACACUAGGAGUGAAAAGGGGGUCUGUUGUGUACACUUAUAGGGUAUGAUUUUAUUUGUGAAGGAUUUUGCAGCCAGCGUUAUACAUGGAUAACUUUAUACCUUGAUGGAUGACAGAUGAGGGACCAAUGUAGGUGAGAAACUUUAAUGGUACAUACAUUGCCUCCUAAUCAGUCAGAAAUAAAACAUUAGUUCACUCCUCUUAAUCCACAUCAUAAGUUAAAGAGAAUAUUGCCAGGAGGCCUUCAUUCUUCUAGAAGGGCAUCAUUUGUUAGGUCCUUUUUCCAUGGUUUGGAGUAAAAGAAGCAAUGAUUUAAAAUGUAUCCCUCAUGAUAAACUCUAUAGCAGAUUCUACUGUAAAGGCUAUAGUUAUACAACAGAAUUUAAAUUAUCUUGUGAAAGUUAUGCUAACUAAUCAAAUUGCUCUAGAUUAUUUACUGGCUAAACAGAAGUAUCUGUGCAGCUGCUGGCACUUGUGGCCUGUGGAGAAAUACAUCACAUCAGGUAUUAUAGAGAUUCAGUUGUAGGGGACUAGCCAAGAGGCUGCUUAGUUAAGUAGGUAGACUCUUUAUCUAGCUCAUUCUUUGAUCUAUUUGAUUUUAUAUGGUUUGGUUUAUGGGGACCCUGGGUAAGGCGAAUACUGUAAACUCUUGGUAUUAUCCUCCCAAUAGUCAUAAUAGUAGUCUCCCUGGUGUGCUAUAUUCUCUCAAAGGUUUUAAAUGUUUGCGUGCAGCCAUCUCUAAAGGGUCAAAUGGUCUGUCUUCAACUGGCAUGACAAGAUCUGAAAGAAAAGUGUGAUCAUGAGGACACCACAACCUAUGAAUGACAUGCUGAGACUGGAAACUCAAAAUGAUGGUAACUGAGAGUGCUGCUAAGGUCCUAAAUUUUGGUUACACUCUCACCUAAGAGAACCUGAACAAAAAAGGAAUUUUUUUAAACAAAAUUAUGAGAGGCCAUUGUUUUGGACUGAGCUUAUGCACUAGGCCCCAACAGACCAAACCAAACCAAAACAGAGUCACUAGUGCUAAAUGUGACAUAAUCAAACUAAGACUUUAAGGAAACACAUAGGUCCUAGAAUAGACCAGGUUUUGUUUUUCUCCUGUAAACAGGACGUUCCAGCAUAAGGAGAUACCCUCUCUUCAGUCAGUCCUUGUCCCCACUUUGCAAAACCCACUGUUCUACUGUUUCCCAAUGAGUUUCAAGACCAAAUAAGUAUGUUUACGACGAUGAUAGUGACAUUAAUGACUAAUUUUUUGGCCAAUCUCUCAAAAUUGAGAUGACCAUCAAACAAGGGGAAUUGUUAAAUCAAGUUCAGCCUAAAGCUGCCUCCUUACCUAUUUUAAGUUUGGCCUAAAGGUUUUUCUGUACAUCCUUAAUUAUAACAAGUGGAGGUAUAAACAGACCAUAGCUUACACUUAAGCCAGUCACCGAAUUUUGACCAAUCAAAUGUAGCCAACUGCUUGAACCAUGUUCAAAUAAGGCAAAUGCUGAGCUGUAACUGGUCCAGCUGUUUUCGUUUUCUGUACCUCACUUCUGUUUUCUGUAUGUCACUUUCCUUUGAAUCUUCUUCCACCACAUGGCUGUGCUGGAGUCUCUGAGCCUACCCUGGCUCAGAAGGCUGCCUGACUCACAAAUGGUUCAUUGCUUAAUAAACUCCUUUAAAUGUAAUUUGGCUGAAGUUUUUCUUUUUAUCACUUCAUAAGCCACUAGAGAAAUGCAAAUCAAAACAGCUAGAUCCUACUUUACACCCAUUAAUAUGAGUAUUCCCCAAAACAAAACAAAAAUAAAAACAACCAAAAACCAGAAAACAACAGGCAUUAGUGAGGAUUUGGAGAAAUGAAAACAUUUAUGCACUGUCAGUAGGCAUAUAAGAUGGUAGAGACACAGUGGAUAACACUAUGGCAGCCACCCCCCAAAAAUGGAAAUAUAAAUACCAUAUGAUCUAGCAAUUUUACUUCUGGGUAUACCCAAAAGAAUUGAAAGGAAAGACUCAAUCAAAUAUUUGUACAACCCAUGUUUACAGCAGCAUUAUUAACCAUACCCAAAGGAUGAAAGCAACGCUAGUGUCCAUGGAUGGGUAAAUGGAUAAAUACAAUGAGGCAGACAUAUACAAUGGAAUAUUAUUCAGCCCUAAAAAGGAAGGAAAUUCUGACAUAUGCUCCAACAUGGAUAAACCUUGAAGACAUAAUGUUAAAUAAAGUCAACCUUUCAUAAAAGGACAAAUACUGUAUGAUUCCACUUAUAGGAGGUACCUGGAGUAGUCAAUUUUAUGUUACAUACGUGUUACCACAAUUUUUUAAAAAAGAGCUGCUCUCUUUGAAUUUUUAAAUCUGUAUUUUUAGGUGUUUGAUUUUUUAAAUAAGAUUUUCCCCCAUUUCUCACCUACCCUAGACAUAUGGCCCUAAAGCACCUCAGAAGAAGCUGAAGGAAAUCAGCCUCCAUAGCUUUCAAGCCCCUGGACUCCUGGAGCCAGAAGUUAAUUCACACUCUGAUCUCAGAGAAGUUCAAGACCUUCAGCAGAACUUUUCCUGGCCAGGGCAUUUUUGCCCCUGAGAUAUGUCAUUAAACACUGUAACCAGGAACUUCUGUUCUUACCCCUGUCCUUCCCUUCACCUUUUAUAGUUACUAAAUGCAAUGUUUUAUUUUUCCAAGUACAAAACAAUAAAAUAGUUAUAAAGAAA
rnacentral:lncRNA from 1 species